rnacentral:rRNA from 1 species
UACGGGGGGGGCAAGCGUUGUUCGGAAUUACUGGGCGUAAAGGGCUCGUAGGUGGCCAACUAAGUCAUACGUGAAAUCCCUCGGCUUAACCGGGGAACUGCGUCUGAUACUGGAUGGCUUGAGAUUGGGAGAGGGAUGCGGAAUUCCAGGUGUAGCGGUGAAAUGCGUAGAUAUCUGGAGGAACACCGGUGGCGAAGGCGGCAUCCUGGACCAACACUGACACUGAGGAGCGAAAGCGUGGGGAGCGAACAGG